UCCAUCGCGCCUUCUUCUCCCACCUCUUUUCUACCAAAACCCUUCUCCCCUCCUCUCUCCUCCCCUACAAUAACCUACCGAAAGUCUCUCUCUCUCUCUCUCUCUCUCUCUCUCUCUCUCUCUCUAAUGUCUCUCGAUCUCCAUUCUUCCUCCAAGUGCGCCCCAAAACCCUCCUCUUCCUCUCACUCUCCACAUCUCCCUCUCCUUCCAUCUCUCUCGAUGUCCCUCUCCCUCUAAGUGCGCCCCAAAACCCUCCUCUCCCUCUCCCUCUCCCUCUAUCUCUCUCAAUCUCCCUGUCUCUCUCGAUCUGCAUCUCCGUCUCCCUCUCGAUCUCCCUAUGUCUCUCCCUCCCUAUCUCUCUCUCAAUCUAUCUCUCCCUCUACAGUAAUGGCACAUCCUCUCCAGCAUCAUCUUCACCACUCUAAGUGCGGCCAGCAGCCCCCGCCCUUCACUUCGUCCCCGACCAUUUCUGGUUGUGUUGUCAUGGGCCUCUUUGGUAAAACUGUGCCUAAAACAGCAGAGAAUUUUCGAGCACUUUGCACAGGUAAGCCAACACUGUCUGUCAUUUUAAGUGUUAGGUUAUUCCUUAAGUUUAUGUUACACUGAUGCAGAUACUCAGAUUUGGACUUCUUUUCUCAUUACAAGAAGUUUCUCCUCAAAGCAUUGUUGAUAUUGAAAAUAGUCAGUUGUAGUCAGGAUUCAAAUUAUCAUUUGAACACCAUACAAUUUUUUUUUACAAUACAUUACCAAUACCAGCACAAUUCAAUUUUAUCAAACAUUUUUAUCAUAUUGCCCCAUGGGUGUAUCACAAUGCAUUCUUACAAUACAUUCUGCUAUUUUGAGCCUUCGUUGCAAUAUGUGAACUGACGUUAACUGUAAUACUGAGACUCUUAGUUGGACUAUCUAAACAUGUGUUGCUCCCACUUCAAAUCAAUAAUUCUGCUAUUUAGCCUUGGUUGCAAUAUGUGAAUGGAAAAAUCACUUUGUUUUUGGCCCAAGGGAGCCAUUUCUCAUUUUCUCAUUGUCUUGCAAACUAAAUUAGUAGUGCACAAGUGGCCAUUAUCAUCAAGUCCCUGAUUUUCAUCCCCUUUGCUGACUUAUCUACUAUCAAUUUUUCUGUGCAAUAUUUUAAACUAUCAUUUGCUUUCAAGUUCUUUAUAUUGCUUGAAUGUCAGACUAUCUAUAUCUAUAC